rnacentral:rRNA from 1 species
AAUCAACGCUGGCGGCGUGCCUAACACGUGCAAGUCGAACGAGAAAGUGGAGCAAUCCAUGAGUAAAGUGGCGCACGGGUGAGUAACACGUGACUAACCUACCCUUGAGUGGGGGAUAACCUAGGGAAACCUGGGCUAAUACCGCAUAAUACCUACGGGUCAAAGGAGCAAUUCGCUUUAGGAGGGGGUCGCGGCAGAUUAGUUAGUUGGCGGGGUAAUGGCCCACCAAGACGAUGAUCUGAUCCGGCCUGAGAGGGCGCACGGACACACUGGAACUGAAACACGGUCCAGACUCCUACGGGAGGCAGCAGUGGGGAAUUUUGCGCAAUGGGGGAAACCCUGACGCAGCAACGCCGCGUGGAGGAUGAAGACCCUUGGGUCGUAAACUCCUUUCGAUCGGGACGAUAAUGACGGUACCGGAAGAAGAAGCCCCGGCUAACUUCGUGCCAGCCGCCGCGGUAAC